AUGUAAUCAUGAUUACAGCAGAAUCUUUCACGGUGGAGGUUUCAUGGGAGAUCUCAUUAAAUCCUGCAUUUCGUCAGUUAUGUGCAUUAUAAGUUCAGAGUGUGUACCGUGUGGUGUAUCGCGAUUCACGAGGAAGUGCGCUUGGUAGAAGUAGCAAGUGGGGAGUGGCGACAUGUGGUAAUAACAAGCAAGGAGGGCUAGACGCAAAUGUUGAGUGAGGCGGCGCGGGAAGGAAACAGAAGGUGAAACAGCCUAGGCGUGAGGUGUUACCCAACAGCAUCGGGCCAGCACAGGAUUUAUACAAAGAACCACCUGUACUCCCAGGCUCCACAAUGGCUCAGCCUUCAGCACCACCACUGCAAGAUAAGAGUGCUCUCCCUAGCCAUCAGGAAGCACCACUUGCACCGUGCUACCCUGAACCCCCCCCACCAUACACCCCCAAUGACCCAGGAGUGUCUGUAGGACCUGCACCAACAGCCCAACCAACUGGACCCUACUUACAUCAACCUCCCAUCCCAGUCAUGGCUGCUCCACCUGUUCAACCGCCUGUACAGAUGGUGGUGGCACCAGCUGCCCAACCAUCACAGGUCAUUGUAGUGGGAGCUGGCCUGGCUCCAGGGACUUGCACUGUUUGUAGGAAUGGGAAGAUGAAGAACAGUGCCUCAUUUUGGACAUGGUUAUGUUGUUGCCUCUUGCUGCCUUUCGGUAUCCUGCCCUCCCUGAUUAUCUUCUGUUGCUGCUGUCGAGGACCAAAGUGUACCAAGUGUGGCUACACCCCUUAGGUAUACCCAGCUUGCAUUUAUUGAAUUAUUUUACUAUUGUGAGUCAGGAAAACUUUGUAUUAUAUAGCAAAGUAUACUCUGUCCAUGUAUUGUAGAUUAGUCUUUGUUUGUUUGAGAACUGGGAGGACUCUAUAGCUGGCCUGUUUAUGUCCAUUCCUUAGUGUUUCACUUGACUGUAUCAGACACCCAUUCACAAACCAUUUACUAAAGCCCUUUAUAUAUCAAUAAUUAAAAGUCUCAGUUAGAAGUAACACACUAUUGAAAAGAAUAGAAGAAAGAAGUGUGGUGCAUCACAUGUCAGCUUGGUAGCGGCAUAACUCAUCAUAUGUUGAUGCUGCAAUGUGCCACUAGCUGAAUCAGAACAGUUCAACUUCACCAAUACUGCAGCAGCUAGAUAUGUAUUAUCGUAGUACAUCAGUAGACAGGUAUACAGUUUGACUGAGCAGCUGUCUGUGUGGCCAAAUUUCCUCAUUUGUACUAGAGUUCAAUCUUCAUAAAUCAUAAUUUUUCUAUAGACUAAGUACAGUUUUGUCCAUUCAGUCUUUAUAUAUCUUUACAGAUGUGAAUUGUGCAUAUCCAUUCAAGCAGCAGCCUUGUGCUGUUGCAUAUGUGUUCAGACGUGGCUAUACACGAGACAUGGUGAUACAGAACCAUCAAGGAGUCACUGCCAGUAGCAGUUUUGUUAGACAUCACAUUCCUUAUCCUGCCAUUAGUAGUGCAUCAGUUCUUCUUGUUGCUCUUACAGAUCAUUGCAAGGCAAGGAUACAGACUAACUGAUUCUGCUCUGAUUGUUCUGCUUUGCCAUGGCAUGUAUGCCUACAUGACUUAGGUUAGUAUAGAAUAACACUGUUUUCCAGUAUCCUGUAGACUCUUGUUUCCUCUAAAGCAUUGAAUCAAGAAUUAUUACUAAACAUAGAAUUUUAUAUUGAACAAGUGAUGUGUGUGAACAUAUGAUUGAUUUAUUAUAUAGAAUUACUGCUUUUAUGUUGUUCAUUUGUGUAUUCCAAGGAAUUGGCCUGUCAUUAUCUUAGUAAGCACAUGAAAAUGCUGUGUAUUCAGUUGUGAAAGUUAUGAUGGCAAUAUUAUGGUGGUGUGGCUUCCUCUCAAGCAAAGGUCAGAAUGCCAGCACAUCCCCCAAAGAGCCCCAUUAUCUUGACAGUCUCCACUUCAUAAAGGAGACACAUUUUGUGGCUGGGUGUGUGGUACCUGGUCACAAAAUGGGAUCCAGUCAUCUCAAUUCUUCCUGCCUCCAACUUUAUUUCCAUCACUUUAUAUGAAAUAUGAGGAACAACAUAGUGCUUUCUAUAAAGUUUCAGACACAAUACACUCAGCCUCUGUCAUCUCUAGAGGACUGAGUCAUUGAGAAAUGCUAAAUGGGUGAGCUUUCCUCACAAGACUGUAGCCUUUCUGGGAGGUUUUGAGCUCAUCUACCAUCCAUGGCCAAACUUGUAUUCACUCAACUUCUCAUGGUCUUAGUUUUAUUUAUUUAUUCACUUAUGUUUUAUUUGAUUCACUGAUUUUAAGUUGUUAUUGUAUGUUGAAUGUGUUACCAAUUCACAUUUGGGCAAGUGACUUACAGGCUGCUUAAGUAAUCAGAUUUAUUUAUGGGAAUUGAAAUGUAUUAAACUUGAAUGUUGUUCA